rnacentral:tRNA from 1 species
GCCGGGAUGGCGGAAUUGGCAGACGCGUGGGAUUCAGGAUCCCAUGCCUUAAAGGGCGUACGGGUUCAAGUCCCGUUCCCGGCA